rnacentral:lncRNA from 1 species
CGUCACUGAAGCGGCCGGGGCGCCGCCAUUCCCGCCCCCAGCCCUGGACCGGGAGUGCCCCGCUUCCCCCUAAGGCCCCUGUGGCCAUCGAGACCCCACCCCCGCCGUUGUGGGGAGGGAGGCGCGGGUGGAUGCCCAGAAGAGAGCCCCACGAACGAGGAAAUGGGCACCGCUGCCUGGAGACCCCCCGAAAACACAACUGUAGCCCCCAAGUACGGCAAUGGCCUCCCAGCCAUUCAGCAAGUGCCCUAAAGACGAAGUCCGAAACGUAGCAAGCAAAGGCUAACCAUGCCAGCCCUCGCUUUAUCGGGGGCUUGGGGGAAAAAAGGUGCCAGGGACUAGUUGACACAGCAAACGCCCUUUGGAAGAAGGCACAGAGCCAGAGCUGGUGGUUCGCGCCUACGUUUCACAUCCCUCUUUCGCCCUAAAUACAUAAAGGCCUCUUCAAAAUACCAGGAAUUCCCAGGGGGAUCACAGCACUCGAGCCAGGAGCGCCCGCGCGGGGCCCUCCGAGCUCCUGCGCCCACCCAGGCCUUUGGCACCGGCAGGGGGCGCUGUGCCUCCACCGCGCCGCGUUGGGCGCAGGCAGGCGAGGAGGGGCGGAGUCGCCGGGCCACCCCGCCCUGCCCAGCCGGGCCCUGCCCGCAGGCCGAGGCGCCCCCGAGCCCGGAUCGCGCAGCCCAACAGUCCGCAAACAAAGCUCAGGUGGUUUCCUGGCCUGCCGGUCGGGCUGAAACCAACAAGGCAGGGGGAAACCCAUUAUUUCUGAGGUCUCGCCUCUGCUUCCACGCCCACCUUCCCCUGCGAUUCUGCGAAGCCUGGGCGCGCCUCGGCGGCUCAUUUUGCAUUUUUAACGGGUUUAAAGCCUCUUGGCAGACCUCGCUUUCCCCAGUAGGUUAGAGCAGGCGAAGCGACACGAUCUCUUCUCUAGGAAAAGAGGCGUGGUGGGUGCCCAGUGUUUGCGAAGCAGCCACCCAUGGCCGACCUCUCGGGUCCACCCAAUCGUGGCUAUCUGCCUGGGUCCGGGCAGCGCCGGGCGGCCCCUCGCGGGUGGUCGAGGCGCCACGCACAAGAACAAUCCCGACCGAAAGGCACGAACCGCCUCUUUUUGACCAUCUGGAAAGGUUCUUAAAGGACCCACCGAGUGUUCCCACCCCACAGAUACCAUUUAAAAAUCAAAUGGAUGUGUAAUUCCACAGACAGCUACGAAUAAAGAUUUAGGACAGUGGGAAAGCCUCAUCAAAAGACUAGAAUCCAGCCACACUCCUCUCCACGAAUGAGCCUUGGGAGCCACCAGGAGGGAAGGAGAGAAAGACACGAAAUAAAUGACCACAACCACAGGUAGA